rnacentral:rRNA from 1 species
UAGCGGGAUGCCUUACACAUGCCAGUCGAACGGCAGCGCGGACUUCGGUCUGGCGACGAGUGGCGAACGGGUGAGUAAUAUAUCGGAACGUGCCCAGUAGCGGGGGAUAACUACUCGAAAGAGUAGCUAAUACCGCAUACGCCCUACGGGGGAAAGGGGGGGAUCGCAAGACCUCUCACUAUUGGAGCGGCCGAUAUCGGAUUAGCUAGUUGGUGAGGUAAAGGCUCACCAAGGCGACGAUCCGUAGCUGGUUUGAGAGGACGACCAGCCACACUGGGACUGAGACACGGCCCAGACUCCUACGGGAGGCAGCAGUGGGGAAUUUUGGACAAUGGGGGAAACCCUGAUCCAGCCAUUCCGCGUGUGCGAUGAAGGCCUUCGGGUUGUAAAGCACUUUUGGCAGGAAAGAAAUCGCAUGGAUUAAUACUCUGUGUGGAUGACGGUACCUGCAGAAUAAGCACCGGCUAACUACGUGCCASCAGCCGCGGUAAUACGUAGGGUGCAAGCGUUAAUCGGAAUUACUGGGCGUAAAGCGUGCGCAGGCGGUUCGGAAAGAAAGGUGUGAAAUCCCAGGGCUUAACCUUGGAACUGCACUUUUAACUACCGAGCUAGAGUAUGUCAGAGGGGGGUGGAAUUCCGCGUGUAGCAGUGAAAUGCGUAGAUAUGCGGAGGAACACCGAUGGCGAAGGCAGCCCCCUGGGAUAAUACUGACGCUCAUGCACGAAAGCGUGGGGAGCAACAGGAUUAGAUACCCUGGUA